UACGGAGGGUGCGAGCGUUGUCCGGAAUCACUGGGCGUAAAGGGCGCGUAGGCGGCCUGAUAAGUAGGGGGUGAAAUCCUGCGGCUUAACCGCAGGGCUGCCUUCUAAACUGUCAGGCUCGAGCACAGUAGAGGCAGGUGGAAUUCCCGGUGUAGCGGUGGAAUGCGUAGAGAUCGGGAAGAACAUCAGUGGCGAAAGCAGCUUUCUGGGACGGUACUGACGCUGAGACGCGAAAGCGUGGGGAGCGAACAGG
rnacentral:rRNA from 1 species